rnacentral:rRNA from 1 species
CACGUAUUUAGCCGUCACUUCUUCUGUUGGUACCGUCAUUUCUUUCUUCCCAACUGAAAGCACUUUACAUUCCGAAAAACUUCAUCGUGCACACAGAAUUGCUGGAUCAGACUCUCGGUCCAUUGUCCAAUAUUCCCCACUGCUGCCUCCCGUAGGAGUAAGGGCCGUGUCUCAGUCCCCUUGUGGCCGAUCACCCUCUCAGGCCGGCUACCCAUCAUCGCCUUGGUGAGCCGUUACCUCUCCAACUAGCUAAUGGGACGCAAAGCUCUCUCACAGCGCAUAUAGCUUUCAUAAUUAUAGGAUGCCCUAUUAUCAUAAUAUUAGGUAUUAGCAUUCAUUUCUAAAUGUUGUCCCUAGCUGUGAGGCAAGUUCUUUACGCGUUACUCACCCGUCCGCCACCCAAACCUAAGUUAAAAACCCAAUUCAAGUAGACUUGCAUGUGUUAAGCAUUCUGUCAGCGUUCAUCCUGAGCCAGGAUCAAACUCU